CACAUGCAGUCGAGCGGUAGCACAGAGAGCUUGCUCUCGGGUGACGAGCGGCGGAGGGGUGAGUAAUGUCUGGGAAACUGCCUGAUGGAGGGGGAUAAAUACUGGAAACGGUAGCUAAUACCGCAUAACGUCGCAAGACCAAAGUGGGGGACCUUCGGGCCUCAUGCCAUCAGAUGUGCCCAGAUGGGAUUAGCUAGUAGGUGGGGUAACGGCUCACCUAGGCGACGAUCCCUAGCUGGUCUGAGAGGAUGACCAGCCACACUGGAACUGAGACACGGUCCAGACUCCUACGGGAGGCAGCACUGGGGAAUAUUGCACAAUGGGCGCAAGCCUGAUGCAGCCAUGCCGCGUGUGUGAAGAAGGCCUUCGGGUUGUAAAGCACUUUCAGCGGGGAGGAAGGCGUUGAGGUUAAUAACCUC
rnacentral:rRNA from 1 species